rnacentral:rRNA from 1 species
AUUGAACGCUGGCGGCAUGCUUUACACAUGCAAGUCGAACGGCAGCACGGACUUCGGUCUGGUGGCGAGUGGCGAACGGGUGAGUAAUACAUCGGAACGUGCCCAGUUGUGGGGGAUAACUACUCGAAAGAGUAGCUAAUACCGCAUGAGAACUGAGGUUGAAAGCAGGGGAUCGUAAGACCUUGCGCAACUGGAGCGUCCGAUGGCAGAUUAGGUAGUUGGUGGGCUAAAAGCUUACCAAGCCGACGAUCCGUACCUGCUCUGAGAGGACUACCAGCCACACUGGGACUGAGACACGGCCCAGACUCCUACGGGAGGCAGCAGUGGGGAAUUUUGGACAAUGGGCGAAAGCCUGAUCCAGCAAUGCCGCGUGCAGGAUGAAGGCCUUCGGGUUGUAAACUGCUUUUGUACGGAACGAAAAGCUUCGGGUUAAUACCCUGGAGUCAUGACGGUACCGUAAGAAUAAGCACCGGCUAACUACGUGCCAGCAGCCGCCGUAA